GAGUUGGUAAACCAGGUGGUGUUGCUGCUCACUGAUCUCUUCCUACUUCCCCAAUUUUCCUCAGACCACUUACGCACUUAAAGGGGCUGAUUUUCCUGUUUCUCAAGACAACCCAGGCAAUGGAGUGCGGGCCUCUGGUGGUGACGGUGUUCACGGGCGCAUAGGGUUGUUCUUGACAGUGAUGUGAUGUAAUAAUGUAGGCUGAUGGUAGGUAACUUGUAGCUGUUGUUGGGGCAAAUGCUGGAGAUUGUAGUGAGAUAAACCAGUGUGGCUCAUGUUCAGGUUGUAGUUGGGACAAAUGUUGUUGUAUCUUGAUUCAUGUGUUGUCUUUGUCAGUCACUCAUGGCAGCAUGAGUGUUUCACAAGCUCUGAAGAUGGUUGUGCUGAAGU